rnacentral:rRNA from 1 species
UACGAAGGUGGCAAGCGUUGUUCGGAAUUAUUGGGCGUAAAGGGCGCGUAGGCGGACUUGUAAGUCGAUUGUGAAAACCCUGGGCUUAACCCGGGAACUGCAGUCGAAACUACAAGUCUUGAAUGCUCGAGAGGAUGGUAGAAUUCCAGGUGUAGAGGUGAAAUUCGUAGAUAUCUGGAGGAAUACCUGAGGCGAAAGCGGCCAUCUGGCGAGACAUUGACGCUGAGGCGCGAAAGCGUGGGGAUCAAACAGG